rnacentral:rRNA from 1 species
AGGGAGCUAGCGUUGUUCGGAAAUACUGGGCGUAAAGCGCACGUAGGCGGCGCCGUAAGUCAGGGGUGAAAUCCCGGGGCUCAACCCCGGAACUGCCUUUGAAACUGCAGUGCUAGAAUCUUGGAGAGGUCAGUGGAAUUCCGAGUGUAGAGGUGAAAUUCGUAGAUAUUCGGAAGAACACCAGUGGCGAAGGCGACUGACUGGACAAGUAUUGACGCUGAGGUGCGAAAGCGUGGGGAGCAA